CCCUAGCCCAGAUGGAAGCGGCAUCCUUUUGUGCCGGGGUUCGGCACAAAAGAUAUAGCGGACAGCUGGAACCAGC
rnacentral:sRNA from 1 species